UCCCUCCCCUGCUUGUCUCUGAGCUCUGGCCUAACCUCAGAGGACAGCUAAAUAAGGAGCAAUGAGCCGCUGUUACAGCUACUGGAUGCCUUAAAAACCAGUAUGUUGUUGGUAAAAAGAGCCCUGAGAAAAUCAGAUUUACUUCCUAAUCAGCGCCUGGCAAUGUCAUCAUCAUACAUUUGCAUAAGCAGGAUGUUUUAUGCAUUGUUUUUCUUUGAGCAGGUACCUCUUCAUUGGUGUGCACUUGCUGAUGUGUUCUCUUAACCUGCCACAGGCUUCCCCAAAGCUAGUAUCUGAGAAGCAUUCGCAGCUAAUAAUUAGCAGUAUUCAUCCUCUCCAUUAUCCAUUCCCCAACAAAGACUUGAAAAAUGCAACCUGGUUAUUCUUCUUUUCUCUCUCUUUUCUCCCUUGUUCAGGUGCUGGUUGCAUGGAAGGCAGGUGCCUUUUAUCCAAAGACAAGGAGUGUUCUCCAUAGGAAGUGUUUAUGUUCAUACUGCAACGCCAAAUUCAGAAAAUAGAUUACCUCUCAGGAAACCAUCUGUUCCAGCAUCCCGUGAACUUUCAGGCAGAGAAGUAAGUGAGGUUGGAAGAACUCUCCUGGAGCUCCUGUUAGCAGAAUGGAACUGGGGACUCUGUGCAGCCGAGCUCCAGCUGAUUGCGCGCAAGAGUUCAAGGCAGCGUGAUUGACUGCGCCUGCCCCCCGCCAUCUCUGUGAUCAAAUCACAUUUGCCUAGUUUAUGUUUCUCCCCUUUCUCUGCGUGAAAGUGUCAAGCAAACAAAGGAGAGACAAGUAAUGGAAGGGGGGGAAAAAAAAUAAAAAGCAGAGCCACGUGAGUACAAAGUGCUUCCAGAGACAUAAAAUAAGCAGUUGGAAAAAAUGGGGAACAAUAUUGCCUUUAAUCUCCAAGAUAACCAGGUGCAGUCAUCCUGGAUGUUACUACUAACAUCUGUGGCUUAAAAAAAAAAAAUAGAAAGUCAACCUGUAGCUGAGUCAUUAAGUUCAGAGUGUCACUGCAAGGAUGGCUUUAAAAACAAACAGGAAUACACAGCAUCUCUGAAAGUAAGAAGGAUUCGAGAGGAGCUUGUUAAAGUGAGAGAUGCUUAUUUUGUCACCAUUGUAGCGAGGGACAAAGUCAGUUCAGGGGUUGAUGGUUGAUUUCUGUUUUAUCUGCUCGCUUCAGUGAUGGUGUGAGCUUAAGGUACGUGUGAGGAGGCAAGAGGGCACAUUUGGUGGCCAACUACGCUAGGUUUUGAUCCAAGCAACUUCCUCACGUUGUGAAGCAGGAGAAAAAUUAAGUCCAAGAGUGUGGCUAUCAUUUCCAAGAUAUCUCAAUGCAACACCAUGAAAGCCACCUGAAGUGAACAAGAACAGCAGAAAGCAGAGUAAGGAUGGACCAAUAUUUCUGUCGCUGAGAGGAAUCCCCCAGCCCACGUGCUAGGGCAGCUUCAAGCAUUGACUCAUCUGCUGUGAGAGCAAAUCAUGCUCUGUCAGAGAGAGGUAUAAGAAAAAGUGCUGGAAAAGGGGAAAUAAUGCCAGGGCAGGAAGCUUGUGUGUCCUUCAUGGUAAACGGGAGCAGUGCCUGUGAAGACAGACCCUUCACUUCAACCACAGGGAAGAAGAGUGUUGACAAAGCACCCAUCUCACGCUGCUCUUCCAAUAAUAGCUUCUCUACAACAAAAGAGGCUGGAGAGGCUGUUCUCAACUAACUUUGCGAUGGCGAAACUUGUCCGGAGACCUUUUGUAUGCUAAGUUUCUUGAAUCCAAGCAAUUACAUGCACCUUCCAUAACCACUGUCAUUUCAAUCGACUGUACUCCUCGAGUGGAAAGGGUGGGUGUGAUGUACUGUUACAGAGGUUAAUAGGACACGCCAGAAGCCUCAAGAACUCUUCAGCAUUUCUAUCUGGGAUGUGCUAAGAUGGCAGUACUUGCAUGGGAUUCAUCAGGCUGACGAACACUGCUGCUGUUUCAGCUGACACAGAUUCUGCAUCUUUCUGAGCUGUACCAGAGGCCUAUUCUCUGCAACACUUCUUUCAUUGUUCAUCUACUAUGGAGACAGCAGCUCACAGGAAAAUUUAUCUCCUGGAGAUCUCGGUGUGAGAAGAGGCUUUUCUCACACAGCCCUCCCAAACCUCCCUGCUGAGCCCUGCAAACGACCUGGUUGGACAGACGGACAGCGUGGGGAGGUGAGUGCUGGGAGAGGAAACAUUCUGGCUUUCAAGGAAGCAAGAGAGGCAAAUCUUGGCAGAAGCAUUAAUUUAUUUAUUGAAAGAAGCAAGGGAAAUCCUUCUUGUUCCUCUAAAUAAAACUCUCUCAUUCCCCGACUCCAGUCAUUCACAAGGAACGGAAGCGUUUUCCCAUCCUCUGUGGAUUUAAUGCCUUGUGUUGCUUGCUAAAUAUAUGCCAGCAUGCCACUUACUGCAGCGUGCAGGCUCGUGAUCUUUGCA
ensembl:lncRNA